rnacentral:tRNA from 3 species
AGGAGCGUAGCUCAGUCUGGCUAGAGCAUCGGUCUCCAAAACCGAGGGUCGCGGGUUCGAAUCCUGCCGCUCCUGCCA